AUAGUAAAAAUUACCAAAUUGUGCAUUUUUAAAGGGUGAAUAUGUACAUGAAUUAUACAUCUCAAUACAACUCUCAUUAAAAAAAUAAAGAUGACAACUUUGUUCCACUCUAUUACGUAAACAGCUUGGAAAUCAUCACUCCCAUCCUCACAAGAAAAAAAGCAGAACAACUGAAAAUCAACUACUCUUAGAAGCACUGGAAAACUGAGUUCACAGGUCACAACACCUCCAGAAAAACUGAAGAAACAUGUGAAUAUAGACAUAUGGAGCUAUAUUUACUCUAAAGCCAAUAACUGGAAGGAACACUUUAAAAGAAAUCCCAAUACUCUGGCCUGGACUUUUCCGUGGCUCCUGUCUUCUGCUUCCUGACUAAAACCUGGUGCUUCCCCUGUGUAGCAUGCAGUGACCCUCCCUGAGACCUGUGAGUAUAAUAAAAUUCUUCCUUCUAAGCCUUAUUCUCAUAUCCCCCUGCAGCUACCCAGACUUUACCACACCGUAUCCAACACCUACAUUCUUAGAAUAGCCACUAUUAAUAUACAAAAUAAAUU
rnacentral:lncRNA from 1 species